rnacentral:rRNA from 1 species
UGGGGAAUUUUGGACAAUGGGCGCAAGCCUGAUCCAGCCAUGCCGCGUGCGGGAAGAAGGCCUUCGGGUUGUAAACUGCUUUUGUACGGGAAUAAACCUCGCUACGUGUAGCGAGCUGAAUGUACCGUAAGAAUAAGGAUCGGCUAACUACGUGCCAGCAGCCGCGGUAAUACGUAGGGUGCGAGCGUUAAUCGGAAUUACUGGGCGUAAAGCGUGCGCAGGCGGUGAUGUAAGACAGAUGUGAAAUCCCCGGGCUCAACCUGGGAACUGCGUUUGUGACUGCAACACUCGAGUACGGCAGAGGGAGGUGGAAUUCCGCGUGUAGCAGUGAAAUGCGUAGAUAUGCGGAGGAACACCGAUGGCGAAGGCAGCCUCCUGGGCCAGUACUGACGCUCAUGCACGAAAGCGUGGGGAGCAAACA